AUAUGGAGCUGAGAGUCAUCUCGUUUAGCCAUAUCAAAUUGACGUGUAGUGGACUUGGGCACCGAGGUGCCCUGCACUUGACAGUUAUGGAUUCCAGAAAAGUACUGGGAUGCCAUAUCAGCCUGGUACCAUGGUUUGACAGAGCUUGAUCAAGCGACAUGAGGUUGAGUGGAGAGCAUGAGCUAGAGGUGGAGGGGCAGGAUUCUUGAGCGGACUGUAUUGAAGCAAGGCACUCGACCAAGUGACCCCUAUAUUUUUCGCAUGAUUUUCUUUUGGAGUGUUGAGGGAGGUUAAAAUAAAAAGAUAUGUUUUCUUUUGCUUCUUUAUGGUUAUCGCAUUAGUUUGAGUUUGACUGGUUCUGCAUUGAGUUUAGAUACUUAUAAACUAAAUAAAUUAUUUUGUAGAUUGUUUUCAUUUUCUGUUAUGUAUUUUUGAAAAAAAAAACUAUUUAUUUAUUUAAAACUAGAGGGGUUUACAGUUGGUAUCAGCUUAGAGAUGGUGUAAGCGACUGUCGGAGAAUUCUUUUCGUCGCUUCAAGGAUUUCCACAAGGUAUUCUUGCAUCACUUUUCUAAUAAUCGGAGGUACCACAAAACUUCUUGGAGUCUGUUUUCCAUUAAACAAGGCUCUAAAGAGUCUAUCAGGGCUUAUAUUAAGAUAUUCAACCAGGUUGCUAUUGAUAUUCCAUCAGCCACCACGGAGAUCUUGGUAAGCGCCUUUUCUUAGGGGCUUAAUGAUACUGAUUUUUAAAGGAUUUGGCUAGGAAUCCAACUACCAAUUUUGAUUUAUUAAUUGAGCGGGCUUUGGAGUUUAUUAAUGUGGAGGCUCAAGCUGCCCUCAGAAAAGAUGUUAACACUUCUGCACUGGUUCCAGCAGUGGCUCAUUCGGGGGGACCUACUCAGCCCCCUAAAGGACCUCAGGCGGAUCCACACCAUCGUCAUCUCAAGCUUCGACCUCAAGCAGUACAGCAUGUAGAUGCUCUUGCACACUUCCUGCAACAAUGGCGCACUUAUCAUCUGACCAACACCAGCAACACAGAAAACUAUUUUGCAUUGAAGAAUUGAUGAGUCAAAUUUGGAGAGGAAAUGAUGUUCAUGGUGAAUUUGAUCAAUGAACAAAGGAAGUUAGCGCCAUCCAUGUGUGCCACAAGACCAUGUCAAAGGAACAAGAAGGAAAAUGGUCUUGGUCGUGUGGAGCAGACCGGGUGUGCAGCAUCAAUAGAAGAGGGGGAUGACAUGGACGUGUGGUAUCACACGACCGUGUGACUUUUGAAGCAGAAUGAGAACAUGGUCAUGUAGAUCUACAUGAUCGUGCAACCCUUCUAGAGGCCAAUCAUUGCCAGGCCGUGUGUUCCACACGGCCGUGCAACCUUUCCAGAGACCAAGAUUGGUACGAUCGUGUGUGCCACAUGGCCGUGUGAGCCGCCCAGAGGAGAAGCAUGGCACAACCAUGUGAAUCUCACACGGCUGUGUGACUCUGGCCGAGAGGUAAGCAGUCGAGGUCGUGUGAGGUCCACACGGCCGUGACACGGGUCGUGUGGCGCCCAAACCCCCUGUUCUAUAUAAAGGGUUUCUCCCUCUUUGAAAGGGGGGCUCUCCCUUUAGGGAGAUCCAAUCUGAAGGUUUUUCUCCAUCUUUUGGGUGUCAAUCUAGUGAUCUGAUGACGUUUCCAUUCUCGAUUCGACUCUAGUAGCAAGGAUUGGUUCUGAAGAUUACUCGUCAUCUCUAGAUAAUUAUUUCUUUUCUAUCUUCUUGAUUUGGAUCGAAAUGUUUACGAUCUUCUUGGAUCUUUUCCUUUGUUUCAUGGAGUAGAUUUUCUUGUUCUAUGAUGGAGGGAGUAUUUGUGAUGUCAACUGAUGUAAGAUUUCAAGGAUUUGCCAACUUCUUGUUUCAAUGAUGUUGUUAUAUUUUGUAUCAAUUCAAUCUUGUAUGGAUUGUUAUGUU